ACUCCUACGGGAGGCAGCAGUGGGGAAUAUUGCACAAUGGGCGCAAGCCUGAUGCAGCAACGCCGCGUGAGUGAUGAAGGCCUUCGGGUCGUAAAGCUCUGUCCUCAAGGAAGAAUAAAUGACGGUACUUGAGGAGGAAGCCCGGCUAACUACGUGCCAGCAGCCGCGGUAAUACGUAGGGGGCGAAGCGUUAUCCGGAAUCACUGGGGCGUAAAGGGGUGCGUAGGCGGUUUUCAAGUCAGAAGUGAAAGGCUAUGGCUCAACCAUAGUAAGCUUUUGAAACUGUUAAACUUGAGUGCAGGAGAGGAAAGUGGAAUUCCUAGUGUAGAGGUGAAAUUCGUAGAUAUUAGGAGGAACACCAGUGGCGAAGGCGACUUUCUGGACUGUAACUGACGCUGAGGCACGAAAGCGUGGGGAGCGAACAGGAUUAGAUACCCUGGUAGCACAGAG
rnacentral:rRNA from 1 species